rnacentral:rRNA from 1 species
AUUGAACGCUGGCGGCAUGCCUUACACAUGCAAGUCGAACGGCAGCACGGGUGCUUGCACCUGGUGGCGAGUGGCGAACGGGUGAGUAAUAUAUCGGAACGUACCUUAUUGUGGGGGAUAACGCAGCGAAAGCUGUGCUAAUACCGCAUAAUCCCUAAGGGGGAAAGCGGGGGACCGUAAGGCCUCGCGCAAUUAGAGCGGCCGAUACCUGAUUAGCUAGUUGGUGAGGUAAAGGCUCACCAAGGCAACGAUCAGUAGCUGGUCUGAGAGGACGAUCAGCCACACUGGGACUGAGACACGGCCCAGACUCCUACGGGAGGCAGCAGUGGGGAAUUUUGGACAAUGGGGGCAACCCUGAUCCAGCAAUGCCGCGUGAGUGAAGAAGGCCUUCGGGUUGUAAAGCUCUUUUGUCAGGGAAGAAACAGCAGCUCUAACACAGUUUGCGAAUGACGGUACCUGAAGAAUAAGCACCGGCUAACUACGUGCCAGCAGCCGCAGUAAGAC